rnacentral:lncRNA from 1 species
ACACAUGCUUUUACAUAAAAAUUCUUCCAGAUUAGAGUGAAGUGUUAUGAAGUUUAGUACCUGCACUUAAGUCUUAAGUAAUCGAAAGACAAAAUAAUUAAGUCAAGCACUAUUCCUCCUGUCUAUACUUCACCUUUAUUCUAGAGUUUUUCAUAAGUUUUCAAAAUAAAACUCAGAGUUCCUAGCAAUGAUUCUCUCAAGUCUCUCUAUAUGUGGUAUUUGUGGAUCCUUACCAUGAUAUCACUUACCUAUAGCUAAUGAAAUAUUUAAGUGGAGCUCAUAGGAGUGAAAAACAGCUCAUACAUAUGUUGUCUAAUCGAGCCAUGGAUCCAAAGGAACUCAGCAUAUAAUUAAAUCAAGAUGUGCAUGUGUGAUGGAGUAAAUGAUAGUGAUAGUGAAAAUGCAUAAGUGAUAAUAAAUCUUAGUUCUCAUUGCUCCUCAUAUUGCUAUCUCUCCUCCUCUUUGAUCUUUGCUUUGGGAGAACAUGGGCUAUCUUUUUCUCUUCUCUUUUUUUUUCAGGUGGGUAGUAGAUACCCCUAAUUCUACUGUCGGACACUUGUCCAUUUUUUCCGCUCAAGUGGGCAUCUUUGUACCCCUAAUUCUACUUCGGACACUUGUCCAUUUUUACCUCUCGUCUCACUCUUUUUCUUUCUUUUUCGAGGUUCCCGGGCACUUGCCCCUUUUUAUUUCCUCGCAUAUUUUUGCAUAACCCAUGCCUCUUCUGCAUUGAAUCUUUUUUAGAGAGAGAGAAUAACAAUAUUCGGGACAGUGAGUGAUAAUAUUUUUAGCAAUUUUAAUGAUGAAUGCUGUGGUAGAUGUGUGCAAGUGAAUAUCUUAAUUUAAUCACAUGAAAAGCUCCUAAGGGUCUUCACAGCUCGAUCAAACUCAAUGUGAAUAUAGUAAAAGAUGUUAUAGCAAGUAUGGCUGUGGUAGGUAGUUUGUUAUGCUAGGAACUCAUCAUGUGCUUUGUAAGUUUUCAAAAUAAAUCUCCAGAACUUAGUGUAGUAGGAACAAGAUAAACAGCAGCUCAACUUUAUAUCAUGUCUUUCUCUUACCUAGACUUUAGUUUUAUGCUUCCCAAAGAUAGUAAUUUUAUUUUUAGUAAUUCCUGGAAGAACUCUAAUAUAAAAGCUAGGUGCUUGUAAGUAAGCAAACAGAGCAACUGUUCAUCAUUUCCAUCAUGCAUAUUUUUGGUCUUUUAAUUUUUUUAGAGAUUAAACUUAGCAGGAAAAUAAAGCACACUUAUCUACACACUAUUUUUAUUUUGUUUUCAUGUUUAUAAAGUGCAGUAAAUAAAAGCAAGAAAAUAUUUAUUUGGUUUUCUAAGUUUUUCCUUUUAAGAUAAAUUAAAUACUAAGACAGAAUAGAAUAAAUAAGAAGAGCAAAUAAAAAACUUACUUGAUAAAUUUGGG